rnacentral:rRNA from 1 species
UACGGAGGGGGCUAGCGUUGUUCGGAAUUACUGGGCGUAAAGCGCACGUAGGCGGCUUUGCAAGUUAGAGGUGAAAGCCCGGGGCUCAACUCCGGAAUUGCCUUUAAAACUGCAUCGCUAGAAUUGUGGAGAGGUAAGUGGAAUUCCGAGUGUAGAGGUGAAAUUCGUAGAUAUUAGGAAGAACACCGGUGGCGAAGGCGGCCCACUGGAUCGGUACUGACGCUGAGGUGCGAAAGCGUGGGGAGCAAACAGG